ensembl:lncRNA
CUUAUUCACUUACCGAAGAGCUGUCUUUAUUCGUAUUCAUUUUACAACAGAAAAAUUGAGUUCCCACAGGGAAGUUGUGGGACAAUGUCAGCAUUUCUGUCCAACCAAGUCCCCACACCUUGGUCUCUCCCAUGAUGCUCCCCAAUCUCACUGCUCCCCUGAGGCCUGAGAGGGUGAGCACCUUCCCCUUCAUAGAUCCCCCACAACACACACACACACACACACACACACACACACACACACACACACAGGCACGACUGCAUCCUGUCUGCAAAAGGCCCCUUGGCUUUUCUCUGCCACAACCGCCUCCCCAUUUACCCCUCGUGGCGCUGGUACUGAAAGUUUCUGGACACACUCCCUGCACUCAGUUGUUCAGGGGGCACUUAUUGACAGCUGGCUGCACACAUCUGGGGAAGACCAACAAAAUCUCUUGGGUGGGGGAGGGUGAAAUGGGUGGAGGGAAUCAAAAGGUACAAACCAGCAGUUAUAAAAUAAAUAAGUGAGGGGAUGUAACAUUCAGCAUGGUGACUAUAGCUAAUAAUACUGUAUUGCAUACUUGAAAGUUGCUAGAGAGUAGAUCUUAAAAGUUCUAAUCACAAGAAAAACAAUUGUGUAACUAUGUAUGGCAAUGGAUGUUAACUAGACUUAUUAUGUUGUACACCUACAACUAAUAUAAUGUUAUAUGUCAAUUAUGCCUCAAUUUAAAAAUUAAUUUUUUUAAAAAAAAGAAAGUCUCUUGCCCUGAGUAGCCUCACAGUCUGGCUGCCUGACAGGGCACAUGGUAAGGUGGAGAAAAUCAUAAAGCAACAUGGACAAGAAGAGCAGAACCCUCAGAUACACCAGACAUAAGAUCCGGAGGAGACGGGGGAGAGGGGCUGCUCCUGGACAGAGCAGAUGGAGAAGUCCCCUCGGUUUCCAGCUUUGACUCUCCUGGGGAAACUGCAAAUUCCCUGGAACAAAGCUGAAAAUGGCUGGUGGGCACCUGACCUCUCUGAGGAGCCAUCUUCCUUGCCAAGAAGACACUGGCUCAGACAGCUGGAAGCAGAGCUUCAAAGCACCUUCCAGGUUAGCCAACUACUGCUUCUACCAGAUGACAACCCUCCCCCCCACAGAAAUGUGGACGACAAUGAUAUCUGGUGACAAGCCUACUGAGUGGGGAAUGAGGGAACAACAAGUCUUCCACUUCGAUUCCAUCUCUCAGUUUCCAUUUGGAGAAGAGACUCAGAGGAGGGAAACAGGAGACCAGUAGGCAGGCUGCAACCUCCCAGAGACCCAGGCAAGACCAUGGAGGGACGAGACAUUCUCAGUCCUGUCUGGGCCCCACUGCUUAGACUGGAUGUGGGGUAUUCGAAGUAGGGAUGAAAAGGGAUCAGCAGAUUUAUUUUGAAGGCAGAAGUGACUGGAUUGGCUGGUGAUUUGCGUGUGUGAGAGAAAGAAAAGAGUGAUUGCCAGGAAGAUUAGCCCUGAGCUAACGUCUGCCUCCAAUCCUCCUCUUUUUGCUGAGGAAGACUGGCCCUGAGCUAACAUCUGUGCUCAUCUUCCUCUACUUUAUAUGCGGGACGCCUGCCACAGCAUGGCUUGACAAGCGGUGCCAUGUCCGCACCUGGCAUCUGAACCAGUGAACCCCAGGCCGCCAAAGCGGAACAUGCAAACUUAACCAGUGCGCCACCAGGCCAGCCCCUUAAAUUUCUUUAAUAUUU